rnacentral:rRNA from 1 species
UUUGGUGCUUUAUUUUUGGUAGAAACACCUAAAUCCAUUCCGAACUUAGAAGUGAAAUACCUUAAAGGACAGUAUUAUACUAAGAGGGUUACCUUUUGGAAAAGCUGUCUUGUGCCAUAG